rnacentral:lncRNA from 1 species
UGGAAUAUAAUUCACUUGAUUGACACUUGAAAAUUAGGUGUACAUGUAUUCUUUCAUUGAACUCUCUGUCUUGUCUUGAUGGCUCAAUGGGGGCAAGCCAUCCAUGUCAAAUUGAGGUCUUUGAUGGAAUGAUUGUAGUUUCUUUAAUAAGAGGCUAAAUAUUCAAGUUGAAGUCUCCAAUUCUAAGUCAAGUUGAUUUUGCCAAGUCUGUUACAUCAUCAAUUUGAAAUGUUCAGCCCGCUAGGUCUUAAAGUUAUAGUUUUCAAAUCUUCCAUGUCUUGAAAUCGAAGUCUUCAAAUCUAUCAAGUCUUCAAGAUAAAGUCUUCAAACUUGCACUGCCUCCAAGAUAAAGUGUUCAAGUUCGUAGUCUUCAAGUAAAUUCUGCCAAGUCUUGAAGAAGUACGCAAGUUAAACUCUUCAAAGCCACCAAGUCUUCAAGUGAAGAAGCUGACAAUAUAGCCUUGGGGUCUUCAAAUAAUUAUAAAGAAGAAAAAUUAUUUAUUUUAUUCUUCGGUUGCGACGCUUUCUUUUAUAAGUGAAGUAUUUGAUUAGACGAUAUACUGGUCUUCACCUAGGACAAAGUAAAAUCUUCAGCUUAGAUGGUAAUAUAAUCUUCAUCUUGGACAAAAUGGAGUCUUGGGCUAAGACGGUAUAAUGGUCUUUACCUCGGAUAUUGUAAAGUCUUUGGCUUCGACGGUUUAAUAGUCUUUGCCUCGGAUGAUGUAAAGUCUUCUGCUUAGACGGUGUAAUGGUCUUUGUUUGGAUAAAGUAAAGUCUUUGACUUAGACCGUGCAGUGGUCUUCACCUCGACAAAGUAAAGUCUUUGACUUAGAUAAUGUAAUGGCUCUUUGCCUCGGAUGAAGUAAAGUCUUCAGCUUAGACAGUGUGAUGAUUUUCGCAUGGGACAAAGUAAAAUCUUUGAGUUAGAUGGUGUAAUAGUCUUCACAUCUGGCAAAGUAUAAUCUUCAACUUAAAUGAUGUAAUGAUCUUUGUCUCCGAAGUUAUAAAUUCUUCUACUGGAGACAUCGUAAAAUCUUUGCCUUGACCAAGGUAAAAUAAAGUAUUCGCCUCAAACGGGGUAAAGUAACUCAAAGAACUUAUAUAAUAACUGAUGUUUCCUCCUUUGAACCUGAAAAGAAAUGACAACAAAGAAAGAACAAAAUAAAUACAAGAGAUGGGAAGGGAUUACCUACAGGAAAAAGAAGAUAUUAGUAUUCUUAAUCCAGGAAGUUAUUGACAUCUUGUACUGGUUGUAUAAAAAGAAAAGGCAACGAUGAAAUAGCAUGGCAAAAAUAGGCCAGCACAAGGAUAUGUACGCGAAAGAAAGAAAGUUAGAACGGAAAAGAAAAUGAUUAGAAGAAUAAGUGCAACGAUGUCACGUUCUAACUUUAACUCAAUUAAACCCUGAAGAAUCAUUCAAUGUUUGGAAAAUAUUGUACGAAGCACCGAUAAAAUGGGUCGCCUUUACAUGCACUAAUUACUUAGUCAUAUAGGGCAUGUCACGUUCAUGUGUAGGGCAAGUGCUUAUUUUAACAAAGAAGGUUCCAGUGAAGUGAAAGACGAAUCAAGAUUAAAAGGCCUAGCUUUAUGAGAAACGAGAUCAAACAGGAUGGCUAAUGAUACUAGCUAAUAUGCAAGAUUCUAGUAUCUAUGUACUGUAGUUCUUAUUAGGCAAAAGUGGAAUUGGCGGACAUUUGGAUUAUUUUAUUAACUUUACAUUAAACUUAAGAAAUGAAUUCUAUGGCCUUUCAAGUUAAGAUGUCAUGGUUAUUAAACUAUGAUGCUUCAGCAAAUAAAGUGAACCUAGUAAAGGAAGAUUUCAUUGAUUCAAGUGAGAAAAUGAUUCUUAGAGGCUACUGUGUGUAAAAUAUCAAUGCCACCAAAAUUUUAGAAGAAAAAAUAAAUCAAAUAAAAAACAAUCUGUGAAGAAUCAGCAAUUGAGAGAAUAAAGCGUAACCCGUACUUGGAGUAUUCCUUUGGUAACUACUUGGUAACAUAUAAAGCAGGAGAAUCAACAUAUUCUUUAUGGGAAAGAGAACACUACAUAAAAUUCAAAAGAAACAAGAUUGAGUUGAAUUUACCGGGAGAAGUUUACUGUCGAGUGUGCCUGUGUUUUAUCAACC